rnacentral:rRNA from 1 species
UACGUAGGUGGCAAGCGUUGUCCGGAUUUAUUGGGCGUAAAGAGCGUGUAGGCGGUUAGGUAGGUCCGUUGUGAAAACUCGAGGCUCAACCUCGAGACGCCGAUGGAAACCCCCUAACUAGAGUCCGGAAGAGGAGAGUGGAAUUCCUGGUGUAGCGGUGAAAUGCGCAGAUAUCAGGAAGAACACCCGUGGCUAAGGCGGCUCUCUAGUACGGUACUGACGCUGAGACGCGAAAGCGUGGGGAGCGAACAGG